CAGAACGAACGCUGGCGGCGCGUUUAAGCAUGCAAGUCGAACGGUAGAAAGGUGCUUGCACUUUUUGAGAGUGGCGGACGGGUGAGUAACACGUAGGUAAUCUACCUAGAAGUUGGGGAUAGCCUGUGGAAACACAGGGUAAUACCGAAUGAGACCAUGUAAAUGGUGAAAGAGGCUAAGGCCUCGCUUUUAGUUGAGCCUGCGGCUCAUUAGCUAGUUGGUGGGGUAACGGCCUACCAAGGCGACGAUGAGUAGCCGGCCUGAGAGGGCGACCGGUCACACUGGGACUGAGACACGGCCCAGACUCCUACGGGAGGCAGCAGCUAAGAAUCUUCCGCAAUGGUCGAAAGGCUGACGGAGCGACGCCGCGUGGACGAAGAAGGCCGGAAGGUUGUAAAGUCCUUUUCUCAGAGAAGAAUAAUGUGGGGAGGGAAUGCCCUACAGAUGACGUUAUCUGAGGAAGAAGCCCCGGCUAAUUACGUGCCAGCAGCCGCGGUAACACGUAAGGGGCAAGCGUUGUUCGGAAUUAUUGGGCGUAAAGGGCGCGUAGGCGGCUGAGCAAGCCUGGUGUGAAAGGCCACAGCUUAACUGUGGGAGUGCGCUGGGAACUGUUUGGCUGGAGUUCAGGAGGGGAAUCUGGAAUUCCUGGUGUAGGGGUGAAAUCUGUAGAUAUCAGGAAGAACACCUGUGGCGAAGGCGAGAUUCUGGCCAUGAACUGACGCUGAGGCGCGAAAGCGUGGGGAGCGAACAGGAUUAGAUACCCUGGUAGUCCACGCCUGUAACGAUGUGCACUAGGUGUUGGCUGUUGUAACCGGUCAGUGCCGAAGCAAACGCGAUAA
rnacentral:rRNA from 1 species